UAUCCUAAUUCAGAGCAUAGCCCUUUAAGUUUACAUUUCAGGAGACAGAAUUUGUACAAGCAUCAAAUGUGACCAGACCGACAAGCUUCUUUUUCUGGUUCUGAAGAAUCCAUCUGAUGGAUCCUUUCAGUCUACUUAGCAUUCCCUAACUAUGACAGUCUCACCAGAAACUGAGGACUAAGUUUGAACAGAGGGGAUCAGUGCACUGCUCUUUUUACAACGCAGAGAGAGGAGAACAAUCACCUUUUCUCCAGAGCCUAAACCUCAACCAGCACAGCUCUAAGGCUCCCCCAGGACUCCUGCCCGACUGCUUGUAAAUGAACUCCAAGAGUCGAGACUCAAAACAACCUGUCAGAUCUCGGCACCACCGAAGGAAUCUUUCGGUGCAGCCGUGGAGGUGAGCUGAGUAGAGAAGAUCUUGUGCAGGGAAAAGAGUGAUGAAAGUCAACUUUUGACACAUCUUUCAGUGGAUUUUGACACGGCUGUUCGCUCUGGCUCCCGGUCGACAAGUCUCCCUGAGUCACCGGAGGCUCGUGCCAACUGGAGGGAAAGAGCCUGACCACUAACAAGUGCUCACUGACUCAUAGCCACCACAGUAUGUCCCACUGUGUGUGUGAGUGUGUGUGAGUGUGCAUGUGUCCCAAUAUACUAUUCUUUUAUAUACUAGUCUAUUUCCCACUUUGCACCCAUCCCACAGAAAAUGUGUGAUCUUUUAGAAAAGAUCAUGUAUUUUAGAUCAGACGCAGUGCCCACCCAAGUGACUGUCAUCAGUAACAAUGAAGCAUGAAUGAAAUAAAGCUAAAUGAAACCA